CCUCUCCUCAGAGAUCCUCAUUCCCUGCAUUUGAGAUGGGCCCUGGGAACCUUCAUUAUUAACUCCUGAAUUUCACUUGGACCAACACGGUGAUGGUGACAAGCCCAGAUGGAAAGGCAGCUCAACAUCUGAGAAGCCAGUCUUACUCCCUGCAGGCAACAGCUGCUUCCAGAAAACAGCCCUGUAAUUGUCACCAUCAAAUCCAUAUAUUUUCAAGGGAAGUUGGUCCCACACCAGAAGUCAUAGCUGAAUCACCAGCAGUAAUGCAGGGACAUACUGGUUGCUUCUUGGCUUUUCCAACCCUCUGCCAUGCUUGAACAUCUUUGUGAAAGUCCAGGAACAACAAAUAAGCUUAAGGAUAAAAGCCCCCCAGCCAUACCACCACAACCCCCUGUUAAACUCAUGCAUGACUUGUAGAAUCCUUUCCCCACUGUCACUAAAAGGCUUUUUACAUUUUCCCUCCUUAAAACACCAGUUUACUGAAUGGAACGCUAUUUCCUAAAUAUUUGCUACACACACAGCUGUAUAUAGAGUUCCCAGGAGAUGACUUUUUUCUUGUCAUCUUUUAAAACUACAGUUAUAUGUUGAUUUAAUUAUCUUCUCUCUAGAUUACUUCACCAAAGUACAGUUCCUACAGGAAGAUAAUGAUCUGACCUAACCUACUAUUGGCUGAAGGAAGGAGAAAAGCAGCUGAAGAUGUCUGUUGAGUGAUUACCCUCAUAAUCCGUGACUAAGAACAUCCAAAUCAGCAUGGCUUCUUCCUGUCUGAAAUUAUUACUACUUAGGGUUUUUCACGUGUUAUUUCAUUUAUUGAUUAUUCUGUUUUAAACUUGCAAGACGUAUUGUCUCUUCAGAAAUAAAAC
rnacentral:lncRNA from 1 species